AUGAAAACAGCUUUGACCCUUUCCCUCUUGAAGGAGUCUCAGGAAUGCCCCUUCAGGGGUCCAUGGGCCACAUGUUAAGAACCACUGUUACACACAGUGCGUUCAGUAACUGUAGAGAUUGACUUUACAUUUUAAAAUAAUGACGUUGUUUAUGUUGCCUAUGUUGAAACUCAUUUACCCAACUACAAUGUGCAGGUGUUCAACUCUCCAAACCUCUUUUGGUUUUUCAGACAUUAGGUAUGCAUCAGUUAACUUUUGCCCAUAGAACUCGAGCUCUUCAGUGUCUCUUCUAUUUGGCUGACAAGGAAACUAUAGAAUCUCUCUUUAAAAAACCCAUCGAAGAAGUGAACAGUCCUAAAGAAGGAAUGAUUAAGGGUCUGUGGAAAAACCACAGCCACGAGUCCAUGGCAGUAAGAUUGGUGACUGAGCUGUGUUUAGAAUACAAAAUCUAUGACCUGCAGCUUUGGAAUGGACUCUUGCAAAAGCUUCUGGGCUUCAAUAUGAUUCCUUAUCUAAGGAAAGUUUUAAAAGCCAUCUCCAGUAUCCAUUCUUUAUGGCAGGUUCCCUACUUCAGCAAGGCGUGGCAGCGUGUGAUACAGAUACCACUGCUUUCAG
rnacentral:sRNA from 1 species